GAUGAACGCUGGCGGUAUGCCUAACACAUGCAAGUCGAACGGUGUUUUCGGACAUAGUGGCGGACGGGUGAGUAACGCGUGAGAAUCUGCCCUCAGGAUGGGGACAACAGUGAGAAAUCGCUGCUAAAACCCAAUGUGCCGAGAGGUGAAAUACUUGUAGCCUGAAAAGGAGCUCGCGUCCGAUUAGUUAGUUGGUGGGGUAAGAGCCUACCAAGGCAGCGAUCGGUAGCUGGUCUGAGAGGAUGAGCAGCCACACUGGGACUGAGACACGGCCCAGACUCCUACGGGAGGCAGCAGUGGGGAAUUUUCCGCAAUGGGCGAAAGCCUGACGGAGCAAUACCGCGUGAGGGAGGAAGGUUUUUGGAUUGUAACCUCUUUUUUUAAGGAAGAAGAAAGUGACGGUACUUAAAGAAUAAGCAUCGGCUAACUCCGUGCCAGCCGCCGCAGUAA
rnacentral:rRNA from 1 species